rnacentral:sRNA from 1 species
CUAAAACAUGCAUUAACCCCCCUGUGUAGGGGUCCACCCUUGAGAGGGUGGGGGCAAUUAAGAAACUUGGCGAGAGAGAAUUAGCAAGGGUGGAGAUGGGAGAAAUGGUUUCCCAGAGUGAAGUGGGAGCUAAGGGGUCGGGGAGUGGUAACCUCUCCUUUGCUUAUCUCCUUGUUUCCUCUCCCAGACUUUUGGAGAGAAGCUCCUAGGAGUCAUGGCCUGGAUCAUGCCCAUUUCUGUUGCCCUGUCCACAUUUGGAGGAGUUAAUGGGUCUCUCUUCACCUCCUCUCGGCUGUUCUUCGCUGGAGCCCGAGAGGGCCACCUUCCCAGUGUGUUGGCCAUGAUCCACGUGAAGCGCUGCACCCCAAUCCCAGCCCUGCUCUUCACAUGCAUCUCCACCCUGCUGAUGCUGGUCACCAGCGACAUGUACACACUCAUCAACUACGUGGGCUUCAUCAACUACCUCUUCUAUGGGGUCACGGUUGCCGGACAGAUAGUCCUUCGCUGGAAGAAGCCUGAUAUCCCCCGCCCCAUCAAGGUGAGAGAACCUCCCUUUGGGGUCCCCUCCCCUUCCUCUAUGGUUCUAGCUG